rnacentral:rRNA from 1 species
GACGAACGCUGGCGGUGUGCUUAACACAUGCAAGUCGAGCGAUGAAGCUCCUUCGGGAGUGGAUUAGCGGCGGACGGGUGAGUAACACGUGGGUAACCUGCCUCAUAGAGGGGAAUAGCCUUUCGAAAGGAAGAUUAAUACCGCAUAAGAUUGUAGUACCGCAUGGUACAGCAAUUAAAGGAGUAGUCCGCUAUGAGAUGGACCCGCGUGGCAUUAGCUAGUUGGUGAGGUAACGGCUCACCAAGGCGACGAGGCGUAGCCGACCUGAGAGGGUGGGCGGCCACAUUGGGGCUGGGACACGGCCCAGAAUCCUACGGGAGGGAGCAGUGGGGAAUAUUGCACAAUGGGGGAAGCCCUGAUGGAGCAACGCCGCGUGAGUGAUGACGGUCUUCGGAUUGUAAAGCUCUGUCUUUAGGGACGAUAAUGACGGUACCUAAGGAGGAAGCCACGGCUAACUACGUGCCAGCCGCCGCCGUAA